CAAAUACUCCCUCCGUCCGGAAAUACUUUUCAUCAAAAUGGAUAAAAGGAAAUGUAUCUAGACGUAUUUUAGUUUUAGAUACAUCUCUUUUUAUCCAUUUUGAUGACAAGUAUUUUCAGACGGAGGGAGUAGAAA
rnacentral:pre_miRNA from 1 species